GCGAGCUGGAAUCAGCCAGCGUUACCUCAAGGUAUUUGAAGAUGCGGUUGACCAUGGUGUGUACGCUUUAUUUAUGACGUAGGACACAUGGUCUACUUCUUCUCAAUAUCACAUCUCGCC
ensembl:miRNA